rnacentral:rRNA from 1 species
AACGCGAAGAACCUUACCUGGGCUCGAAAUGUAGAGGACGAUCACAGAGAUGUGAUUUCCCGAAAGGGUCUCUAUAUAGGUGCUGCAUGGCUGUCGUCAGCUCGUGCCGUGAGGUGUUUGGUUAAGUCCAGCAACGAGCGCAACCCUUAUCGUUAGUUGCCAGCGCGUAAUGGCGGGAACUCUAACGAGACUGCCUAGGUUAACUAGGAGGAAGGCGAGGAUGACGUCAAGUCCGCAUGGCCUUUAUGUCCAGGGCUACACACGUGCUACAAUGGUCGGUACAGAAGGCAGCGAAACCGCAAGGUGAAGCAAAUCCCAAAAGCCGAUCUCAGUUCAGAUUGUAGUCUGCAACUCGACUACAUGAAGUUGGAAUUGCUAGUAAUGGCGUGUCAGCAACAACGCCGUGAAUACGUUCCCGGGCCUUGUA